UUAAGCGACUAAGCGUACACGGUGGAUGCCCUGGCAGUCAGAGCGAUGGAGGACGUGCUAAUCUGCGAUAAGCGUCGGUAAGGUGAUAUGAACCGUUAUAACCGGCGAUUUCCGAAUGGGGAAACCCAGUGUGAUUCGUCACACUAUCAUUAACUGAAUCCAUAGGUUAAUGAGGCGAACCGGGGGAACUGAAACAUCUAAGUACCCCGAGGAAAAGAAAUCAACCGAGAUUCCCCCAGUAGCGGCGAGCGAACGGGGAGGAGCCCAGAGCCUGAAUCAGUGUGUGUGUUAGUGGAAGCGUCUGGAAAGGCGCGCGAUACAGGGUGACAGCCCCGUACACAAAAAUGCACAUGCUGUGAGCUCGAUGAGUAGGGCGGGACACGUGGUAUCCUGUCUGAAUAUGGGGGGACCAUCCUCCAAGGCUAAAUACUCCUGACUGACCGAUAGUGAACCAGUACCGUGAGGGAAAGGCGAAAAGAACCCCGGCGAGGGGAGUGAAAAAGAACCUGAAACCGUGUACGUACAAGCAGUGGGAGCACAGAGCAAUCUGUGUGACUGCGUACCUUUUGUAUAAUGGGUCAGCGACUUAUAUUCUGUAGCAAGGUUAACCGAAUAGGGGAGCCGAAGGGAAACCGAGUCUUAACUGGGCGUUAAGUUGCAGGGUAUAGACCCGAAACCCGGUGAUCUAGCCAUGGGCAGGUUGAAGGUUGGGUAACACUAACUGGAGGACCGAACCGACUAAUGUUGAAAAAUUAGCGGAUGACUUGUGGCUGGGGGUGAAAGGCCAAUCAAACCGGGAGAUAGCUGGUUCUCCCCGAAAGCUAUUUAGGUAGCGCCUCGUGAAUUCAUCUCCGGGGGUAGAGCACUGUUUCGGCAAGGGGGUCAUCCCGACUUACCAACCCGAUGCAAACUGCGAAUACCGGAGAAUGUUAUCACGGGAGACACACGGCGGGUGCUAACGUCCGUCGUGAAGAGGGAAACAACCCAGACCGCCAGCUAAGGUCCCAAAGUCAUGGUUAAGUGGGAAACGAUGUGGGAAGGCCCAGACAGCCAGGAUGUUGGCUUAGAAGCAGCCAUCAUUUAAAGAAAGCGUAAUAGCUCACUGGUCGAGUCGGCCUGCGCGGAAGAUGUAACGGGGCUAAACCAUGCACCGAAGCUGCGGCAGCGACACUGUGUGUUGUUGGGUAGGGGAGCGUUCUGUAAGCCUGUGAAGGUGUGCUGUGAGGCAUGCUGGAGGUAUCAGAAGUGCGAAUGCUGACAUAAGUAACGAUAAAGCGGGUGAAAAGCCCGCUCGCCGGAAGACCAAGGGUUCCUGUCCAACGUUAAUCGGGGCAGGGUGAGUCGACCCCUAAGGCGAGGCCGAAAGGCGUAGUCGAUGGGAAACAGGUUAAUAUUCCUGUACUUGGUGUUACUGCGAAGGGGGGACGGAGAAGGCUAUGUUGGCCGGGCGACGGUUGUCCCGGUUUAAGCGUGUAGGCUGGUUUUCCAGGCAAAUCCGGAAAAUCAAGGCUGAGGCGUGAUGACGAGGCACUACGGUGCUGAAGCAACAAAUGCCCUGCUUCCAGGAAAAGCCUCUAAGCAUCAGGUAACAUCAAAUCGUACCCCAAACCGACACAGGUGGUCAGGUAGAGAAUACCAAGGCGCUUGAGAGAACUCGGGUGAAGGAACUAGGCAAAAUGGUGCCGUAACUUCGGGAGAAGGCACGCUGAUAUGUAGGUGAAGUCCCUCGCGGAUGGAGCUGAAAUCAGUCGAAGAUACCAGCUGGCUGCAACUGUUUAUUAAAAACACAGCACUGUGCAAACACGAAAGUGGACGUAUACGGUGUGACGCCUGCCCGGUGCCGGAAGGUUAAUUGAUGGGGUCAGCGCAAGCGAAGCUCUUGAUCGAAGCCCCGGUAAACGGCGGCCGUAACUAUAACGGUCCUAAGGUAGCGAAAUUCCUUGUCGGGUAAGUUCCGACCUGCACGAAUGGCGUAAUGAUGGCCAGGCUGUCUCCACCCGAGACUCAGUGAAAUUGAACUCGCUGUGAAGAUGCAGUGUACCCGCGGCAAGACGGAAAGACCCCGUGAACCUUUACUAUAGCUUGACACUGAACAUUGAGCCUUGAUGUGUAGGAUAGGUGGGAGGCUUUGAAGUGUGGACGCCAGUCUGCAUGGAGCCGACCUUGAAAUACCACCCUUUAAUGUUUGAUGUUCUAACGUGGACCCGUGAUCCGGGUUGCGGACAGUGUCUGGUGGGUAGUUUGACUGGGGCGGUCUCCUCCUAAAGAGUAACGGAGGAGCACGAAGGUUGGCUAAUCCUGGUCGGACAUCAGGAGGUUAGUGCAAUGGCAUAAGCCAGCUUGACUGCGAGCGUGACGGCGCGAGCAGGUGCGAAAGCAGGUCAUAGUGAUCCGGUGGUUCUGAAUGGAAGGGCCAUCGCUCAACGGAUAAAAGGUACUCCGGGGAUAACAGGCUGAUACCGCCCAAGAGUUCAUAUCGACGGCGGUGUUUGGCACCUCGAUGUCGGCUCAUCACAUCCUGGGGCUGAAGUAGGUCCCAAGGGUAUGGCUGUUCGCCAUUUAAAGUGGUACGCGAGCUGGGUUUAGAACGUCGUGAGACAGUUCGGUCCCUAUCUGCCGUGGGCGCUGGAGAACUGAGGGGGGCUGCUCCUAGUACGAGAGGACCGGAGUGGACGCAUCACUGGUGUUCGGGUUGUCAUGCCAAUGGCACUGCCCGGUAGCUAAAUGCGGAAGAGAUAAGUGCUGAAAGCAUCUAAGCACGAAACUUGCCCCGAGAUGAGUUCUCCCUGACCCUUUAAGGGUCCUGAAGGAACGUUGAAGACGACGACGUUGAUAGGCCGGGUGUGUAAGCGCAGCGAUGCGUUGAGCUAACCGGUACUAAUGAACCGUGAGGCUUAACCUU
rnacentral:rRNA from 1 species